ensembl:lncRNA
CUGGGGGUCUUUUUAUAAUGAGAUGUCAUCCACCUCACCAGACUACACCUCUUAAAACCAAACUGAGGGAUGAUUCGUAUUCAAGUGCCCCUCUCAGACCCUUCUAAUAGAACCUGUUGGAACAUAAUGCACUCCUUGUGCACACAGGGUUACACAGCGGGAAAAACAUCAGACGAGUUCAAACCAGUUUCCAGGGAACAAUAGCUCCAGAAUGACAAAUCAUGCUGAGGAAAUCGUAAGUGGAAUAUCGAGAGGUGAGCUGUACCAGGAUGGGAGUAGUCACUUACAGCGAAAGUGUGAAUAGUACAUACUACUCUCCCCUGGAUCCCUGGUUGAAGGCCUGUGAAGAGGUACCUGGAAUGUCUGAGCACCACAUAGCAGACCGAGAUGAACAGGUGUGUGACGUGGCCUGCCCUCCCCAGCUCAAUGCACAGACGCUAAGAUAGAGCCACACUCUCAGGUGUGUGACGAGGCCUGCCCUCCCCAGCUCAAUGCACAGACGCUAACAUAGAGCCCCACUCUCAGGUGUGUGACGUGGCCUGCCCUCCCCAGCUCAAUGCACAGACGCUAAGAUAGAGCCCCACUCUCAGGUGUGUGACGUGGCCUGCCCUCCCCAGCUCAAUGCACAGACGCUAACAUAGAGCCCCACUCUCAGGUGUGUGACGUGGCCUGCCCUCCCCAGCUCAAUGCACAGACGCUAAGAUAGAGCCCCACUCUCAGGUGUGUGACGUGGCCUGCCCUCCCCAGCUCAAUGCACAGACGCUAAGAUAGAGUCACACUCUCCCUGGAUAUUGUCUGCUGAAUAGACAUCACUAGUGUGGAAGACACACUGUGGCUGAGUGUCAGUACACUAAAAAGGCAGUGCCUCUUGAGUAUCAAAAGGAAGAAAUAUGAAUCAGUUUUGUGGUCAGGCCAUAUCAGGUUUUAAUGUUUGUAGAGUGCAAUAUCUUCACUCUUUGGCUCCAGCAGACCACACAAACAAAGGGUCAAUGUUCCCGUCUGGAAUGAUUGAUUGAUUUCCGAAUGGUCAGAGACUCCAGGAAAAUGGCAUCUUGGGUUGAAC